rnacentral:rRNA from 1 species
AUUGAACGCUGGCGGCAGGCCUAACACAUGCAAGUCGAACGGUAACAGAGAGCAGCUUGCUGCUUUGCUGACGAGUGGCGGACGGGUGAGUAAUGUCUGGGAAACUGCCUGAUGGAGGGGGAUAACUACUGGAAACGGUAGCUAAUACCGCAUAACGUCGCAAGACCAAAGAGGGGGACCUUCGGGCCUCUUGCCAUCGGAUGUGCCCAGAUGGGAUUAGCUAGUAGGUGGGGUAAAGGCUCACCUAGGCGACGAUCCCUAGCUGGUCUGAGAGGAUGACCAGCCACACUGGAACUGAGACACGGUCCAGACUCCUACGGGAGGCAGCAGUGGGGAAUAUUGCACAAUGGGCGCAAGCCUGAUGCAGCCAUGCCGCGUGUAUGAAGAAGGCCUUCGGGUUGUAAAGUACUUUCAGCGGGGAGGAAGGGAGUAAAGUUAAUACCUUUGCUCAUUGACGUUACCCGCAGAAGAAGCACCGGCUAACUCCGUG